rnacentral:lncRNA from 10 species
CUAGGACUUUAAUUUUCUCCACUGGGAGAGGUUAAGUGUUUUAGAUGAUCAGAAUUGCAGACUGUAACAGUGACUAUUAGUGCUCAGUAAGUAUAUCUCAGCUUUUGCGGUUGAGUGAAGAUCAUGUGACUAAUUCUGGUCAGUAGAUUGCUGGUGGAAGUGAAGUGUGUCACUUUAGGCUGGAAGCACUUAAGAUUAGGGGGAUCUUCUGCAGCUGCAAGUGAAGGACCAUAAAAUGAUGGGUAUGCAAGAUGGGGGCCCCUGGGCAAGUAGGGGACCUAUGCAAUAGCAUUGCCUGACCUACAUGGAAUUGUGAUAUGACCAAGAAAUAAACUUUUCUUAUGUUAAUCCACUGAGAUUUUAAAGUAUGACCCCGAGGGACUGGUUUUAAUUAUUUGACUAAAAAAUAAAAUAUUAUAAUUACUACUGAUCCUACAAUCCCCUAAAAUAUUCAUUUUAUUUUAAGAGGAACCCUUAUAGAAUUCAACACUUAUAUUCUCUUACAUGUUUUGAGCCAAGUGUUAGGGCAUAUACAAGGAAAUUUAGGGCACAUUGUUUUCUCCCCUCUCCAAAAUUUCACAGUCCAGUUCUCUCACCUGCCUUCCUACAAGAUAACAAAUGACUACACUGCUCUUCAACCUUUUUGAGGUUGCACCCACUAGCUUCUAGGAAAGCUUUUGGAUGAAUAAGAAAGUAUCAUGUACUCCACCUGUUUUGAGUAAGGACAGAAUCUUGGAGAGAUCAUUGAUGAGUUCAGCUUAGCUGAACAAAAAAGACUACACACGCAAUGAUUUAAAUUUUUCUUUCUUCAACAGAGAUUUUUCUCCCCUACAACUUUAUGUCUAGCACUUGAAAUUUUUAUUACAGCCUGUAAGAGUCAAAAAAGUUCUUUCUGUGUUUAAGUAUAACCUAUUUCCUCAAAAGCAAGUGUAGUCCAAAAGAGGACCUCAAAAUUUGUUUUAUCUUUAGACCCAUACACACACUAUCUCUCCCUUUUUUCCCUCCCUCUUCAUUUUCUCUCUGACAAUCAAUAAAUUAUGACAUCUAUAGAAUUUACCUUCUCAAUAGUUCUCAAAUACUCUUGCCUAUGCUCCUCCUUUUACCUUGACCUGAGACACCACCAUCUCUUACCUCUAUAGCUAUAGUAGUUUGCUAACUCAGCUUUCUUUUUUUAAUCAUCGCUCUCCUAAAAUCUGAUCUCUGCAUUGAAGAUAAGGGAUGCUUUCUAAAAUAAAAGUGAUCAUGACACCACUUGCUUAAAAUCUUCUAUUGUUUUAGGAAUGAUGUACAAACCAUUAAUGUGGCUUAUAAAAUUUUUUAUUUCUUCAGCUUCACUUCUCAUAACAUCAACCCUUCCUCCCUAACCCAUCCCAAUCCUCUGUCGACUUUCUAUAAUCCAAUCAUGAUAAACUUUUUCUUUAACAAGUUUAUUUUAUAUAUCACUUCCUGUGUCCUAAUCACCUCCUCUCAUUUCUAGGUUAGAGGCCCUCAUGUAUUUAAUAGCAGCUUGUCUGCUUUCUCUCAUAACAUUUUCAUACCAUAUUGUGAUUGUCUAUACAUUUAUCCAUAUUUCUCAUUAAACUGUAAAUUCCAUGAAGGCCAAUACAGUGUCUUCAUAAUUCACCAUUACACACCUAUUUACCACUUCUUACAAUAUAACCCUCAUGCAUUUUCUGUCUCCUUUUAUUUAACUUAUUAAAGAUACUUUCUAUAUGUUCAUAGGGAAGAUGAUGAGUUUACUUUUGAACACCUCGAGUCGAUUUACCUAUGGAACAUCAAGUGAAGAUGUACAGUAGAGAACUGGGUAGAGGUUUCUGGACCUUAGGAGGGAAAUCUGGGGUGCAGAUACAGAGAUCCAGAGGGAAGUAGCAUAGAAAUGCUAGGUGAACCCACUAAUGUACAUGAAAUCAUCUAGGAAGAGUGGGUGAAUCAAGAACAGAAGACAUUUGGGGAUGGAGUUCCAACAUGUAUGAAAUAGGAGGAAAAUUAUUGAUGGAAUUCUUAGAAAUAGCAUUCAGACAAGUAGAAGGAAAGCUAUGAGAGUGGGGAAUGAAGAAAACAAACAAAAAAUAAAUUCUCAAAAGGAAGGGUAUUCAACUGCUGCAUAGAGGUCAAGCAAGAUAAGAACUGAAACCAUUCUUAUUCAUUGGUUUUAGCAGUGAAGACAUCACUGAUGACUUUUCCCAGGGUGACUUCAGUAAAGUGGUGGGUGUGGAAAGCAGAUUCAUAGGUUAAGAGAUGAAUCAGUGAUAAAGAAGUAAAAAAGGGCUCCAGAAAUUUUACAGUUAAGAAAAGUAGAGGAGCUAACUCUCAUACAUCCUCCAGGACUGUCAGACUUUACCUCCUUCCAAGAACCUUUUUCAGAUCCCACCAACACAUUAUUACACCACACUCUAAUAGAAACCACCACACUCCGGUUUCUCUUACACAGCCCUCAUGUUUGGUCUAUGCAUACCUUCAUUUUAUCAUUGAUUAUACAUUAUAAUCAACUGAUUGUCUUUUCUAGUAAAUCAGUGGGUUCUGAAUUUACUUUGGGUUUUUCAUUUUCUUUAUAAUCUGCUGUAAUCUAAAAAACAGUCUUUGCUGAAAAGUUUAUUCAUGCACAUAGUCACAAAUUUGUGCAUAAAAUUUCAACAAGUUAAAAGGAACCAUAAAAGGUCAUUCAGAGUACCCAAGUUAGAAAACCCUGCGUAAGACUUUAAAUUUUUUGAUAAUGUAGAGAUUUUAUAUUAGUUAUCUUGUGUUAUUGGGCCUGUCACAGUGCUUAUUACAUAAUGGUACUCAAUAAAUGCUUGAUAAAUGAAUGAAUGAAUAAAUGAACUGUAGAGUAGAAAUAUGCACCAAGGAUAUUGAAAGUAUGAAAGCAGGAACAUCUAACACUGCCUUGGAAAAACAGAAAUCCUUCAAUGCAAAAGUUUGAAGGAGGACAUUGCCAAGAUGAUAAAGAAAGAUACUUCUCAAAGAAAGAACAUCAGAGGAAAAGGCCCACCAGACUGUUCAAAGAACAGAUAAUCUAAUCCAAAUGGAAUACAGUGAGCCUUUGGGAAGUAUUGAAACACAAGGAAUCUUGAUCCCUAUCUUCAAUCUAGCAGCUGAGACCUGGUGUUCCAAAGGAACUGGUGUUCCAAAAGCAGCUGAGACCUGGUGUUCCAAAGGCAUGGGCUGUGUGAGCAUGCCUAGCAUAUUCCAGAGCAUGAGAAUGCAGUACCUGCCUUGGGAUGGUAGCAGCCCCAAUUAAAGACAAGAGACUCAUUCCUCACUCAAACUGGGCAAAAACGAAAGGACAAUGACUCCAGACAGAAGUAAAAG